GAGGGUAUAGCUCAGUGGUAGAGUGCAUGACUUUAGUAUGACUGAGGUCCUGGGUUCCAUCCCCAGUACUUCCA
rnacentral:tRNA from 1 species